UGAUGUAUAUAUUCUGUGUGAAUACGUGUGUCAGGUUUGUAUCGUAUAACACACAUAAUACAAUCAUAAAGGAUUUCUACAAGUGUUCAAAUACGUGAACCACUGUACGUGUAUUUUCGUAUUCUUUCUCGUAAGGAUAAUAGACGCGUGGUAUGCACGUUAAAGCAGCGUAUCACAUCUUCGAUUGUAAAGUCGAGAGAUCUCGUAUGGUGGCGUAUCGAUUACAAGGCAGCAGACACAUUGAAGUCUCAACGUAGAACAAAAAUAAUCGAUGAAGAAGGUGGGUAGAGAAGAUGAAAGAAAAGUAGAAAAGAAGAAAUUAACUACAAAUGGAAAGAAGGAGAACCUAAAGGGGAAGUAGAGGAAAGAAGAGAAAGAAAGGAAAAAGAAAAAAAAGGAGUGAAUCCUCAUUCAGCCAAGAUGUGUGUAUGAACCAUAAAGAAUGCCCGUGGGGUAAGAAAAGAGGAGGCUGGCGCCAACCACCGCUACUUUGAAUGUUGCUUUUAUGGCGCAUACCGCGCCGAUCCAGCCGCGCGGAUACAUUAAUUGGUAUACGUACAGUGUACAGUGCGUGCCAGUGACAGCCACCAAUAGCCAUGGAGUAUCGCGACACGCCGUGCCGUUUCACCUUUCUACCCGUCGUUUCUAUACCUCUUAACCUCUCUCGAUUUAUGGAUAUUCGUUCCACAGGAUUUUAUACCACAUUUUCAAGUACAAAGUUCUUUAUGAAAAUCGGUUGUCGCGUAACACAUAAAAACGAUUGCUGCAAUUAAAAAGUAAAUGGGAAAGAUGUUAUCGAGCUCUGAAGUCGUUGAAGAUUUCGUACACUGUACCGUCGGAAAGCCAUGUGGCUCAUGGCGCCUCGUUUCUUCUCAUCUCCCUCGCAUUAAGAGUCCAACAAGAUGCCAAAAAGGCUACACGUUUCUAACAAUUACGUCAAGCUUGAUACGCUGAUGCAUCCAACAUUGUUUGUAAAUCAUCAUGAGAGAUGACGCCAGGAAUGGCACACGUUAGACAGCGCUAUAAAUUUAUUUAAUAAAUGGCGCCACUGGCAUCAAUUUCAGAUACUUUCUAUUUAUUUUUAAAAUGCAGUAAACGUUACUUUCACAAGUCCCAUUGCAAAAAAUAAUAGGCUACCAUUUCCUAAAAUCGAGGGACGUAGAUUUUGGAUUUUACGGCAGUUGAACGUGACUAGAAGGAGCGUUACGGCCAAUUUAAUAGCUUUCACGCGAGAAUCGACACUACGCGGCUAAAAAAGAACUCUAUUUUAAAAGGGAUAACUAUAUGAUGGUAAUCACGUCGACGGAGGAUUUGAAAAAAAGACUUGAACAAAGUUGCUGUAAUGAAUACACUUUUAAACGAUCUACCAUAAUACUCUGGACAGGAUCGUAUAUUAACCGAACGCUAAUUACGCGAUGCUCAUGCAUCUUUCGAUGUCUCGACCCUUCGUUGCUCUUGCCGAGAGAACGCGGGAGAUUCAACAAGUUUCGUCAUUAUCCAAUGAAUGGAACUCCUUUCGCGUCUUCUGCCAACAUCCUGGACACGUUGUCGUCCGUUGUCCGAGCCGAUGAGAAUCGAUGUGACAGUCCAAUCGACGGGCUCACGGGUCACAGUUUCUUCUCGCGGGACAUAAAAGGGAGACGGCCGCGUAUUGGUAAUCGUAAGCGACUUCACCUUCCAUCAGCAGGGGGCAACAAGCCUGCCAGACGACGACGCGAACACGACCACGAUGACAACGGCUGAAGAAUGUAGGGGGAAAACAAAUUUCUGCGCGUUGAAACUUUAUACUCGUAAAUAACGAUAAGCGAUACUUCUUGAAACUGGGAAGAAUUGGUUCUAUCAGAUACGCAGGGAAUUUUUUACUUGCUGCUAGAAGAUUGUAUAAUCUGUACUUCAGUGCUAUUUUCAUUGCAAACUUUUGAAUUGUUAUUUAUCUGAUCUAAGAGUACCAAUCGAAAUGGAUCGACACUAGGCAACUAUGAAAUUUUGUUAUCGCUAUAUAACCUGUUAUGGCUUAUUAAUUAUUGUUUCGUAUGUUUUCAGCAGCAACUAUCUUUCUGUUCCUAGAAAUGACAUAGAUACUAUGACUUUUUUAAGGUGAGCGGAAAUAUUGCUAUAACGGGCUGGUUCUUGGGCUUUGCAGCACCAUAUCGAGAUGACCUUUUCGAAUCUGGUUUUUCCGGGUACCAGCCAUGUCAGAUGGGUGGAAAUGAUACAUAGAUAUCUAAGGAACCUGUGAAUGAGAAACUUAAUGCAACUCGCGACUAAAUUGUUGAACGCGAUAAGUUAUUCGAGACAAAUAUGUGUCGCGCCCAACAUAGACAAAUUUCUCUAUACGGGUAUGCUCUUACGGCAUAUGUUUAUUAUUGGUUACUGCAACACGAUGCCGUGCCCAUAUUCACUGCCCAUGUUCUGCCGUACGUUAAUUAGGAAAAAAAGAGGAAUUACUAUUCGUUUGUGAAUAAAGGUAGACGUAAAAAUGUUUUAGGGAUUUUUAUACGCUGAGGUUGACCUGCCUGGAAUCUGGUACAAUUACGUCCGUGUUUUAAUCGCUUUCGAACACGUAUAUGUCUAUUUCCUGCUCUUAAAAAUAUCGAUUAAUAAACAAAUUUAAAAAACGGUUCGAUCACCGACAUUUUUGAAAAACACACCGGUCCUCCCUCCCCCCUAUGGAGGCAAUUUAAAGUACGCACGAUAGCAAGCAACGAGGGAGUGGUUGACAAAGAUAAUAAGAAAAAGGGGCUUGAGGGAGUGGAGGCAGACACGAAAUUAACGACGAUAAAGCAUGUCGGGAGGAUAAAGAGCAAUACAAGGAAAGACGAUAAGAGGUGAACACGAAGAGGCAGCAGUAGCGACGAGACGAUUGGUCAGCCUCAUUGAAAGAGGAAUGGUUUGCAAUGAUGCCCCUACCCCCCUGCUCCUCCCACACUGCUUCCCCCGCGACCUUCCAACCUUCCCACCAAGCCACGUCUCCUCGUCUAUUCUCAUUCCCGCGCGCGUUAUGCCCGAUCAUUACGUAUGCUAAUAUUUACAUUUAGAUUGCACGGCUUAAUCGAAGUGACGCCAUGCGGUAAUAUAGCCGGCGCCAUGGCGCUAAACCGUGGCGCCCGACCUAUCUCUUCUUUCUCUUUCUGCCUACCGACCACCACAUCUUCUACUCCUCUUCCUCUCGUCGUUCACCAUUCUCUUCUUUUUUGCCUACACUGUCUCUCCUGCCGUUUCUUUAUCAUCGACCUUUUUUCCGCGCUGCUUUUUUCUUUACCGACCGUCCUUCCCGCCGCGUCGGUUACGCUUAAUUCGAUCUCUCUCACGGGUUGUUAUUUCGCUUAUCUGCCACACGCGGCUGUGUCCCACGGAACGGCCACGGGGUGGCACUAUUUGCGCUCAACAGAAAUCCGACCCGCCAUCUUCUUCCAAUUGACAUUAUUUGACAUAAUUUUUUCUUAGUUGGCAUUUGAACCUUUUUUUCUCUUUUUUGCGCGACGGUGGAAUCGUAACAAGGAGAAUCGUAUCUUCGUUGGACUGAUCAAGGUGCUGGGUAACUGGGUUACCAGUUAAAAACCUCCCUCUUUAAUUUCUCUCGGUGUGGAAGGGAAAGCCCCUCCUCCUGGCUCUGAUGUGAUAUUAUCUCAAGAGGAGAGGUUACUUGCCGCCUAUUUGGCCCUUUGUUUGUUGCAAAAAUGUAACAUUAGGUGUAAAAUAUAACAAUAGCAUCGUAAGUUUGUUAAUGGUAAUUAAGCAGUGGAACAAUUGAAUUUACUAGUGCAAGAAUAUACAAACAUAGCGCGUGUAUUCAUUACUGGACUUAUUAUUAAGAAUAUUGACAUAUUCACGUUGCGAACGAGACGGCGCCACUCUGACGUUUGUAUCCUCAAUUAUUGAAAUAUUCGACCGUAAGUAUCGUAGAUGUCUAGUCAAGAUAAGUUCAAGGAAACAAGAAAUGCGGAAAGAUCGGUCACGUAGCGAAUCGUUCCCUGAAUAACGUAGUGUUUUGAAUGACAAAAAGCAGUAUGCGAACACAAGGCUCGUUAUGUAUGGUAAACAAACAGUAACGAUCUCAUCGAUACACUGUUAAUUCCACCUAAUUAUAAAUUUUACGUGAUUCUACCAUUUUUAUAGAGGCACCUGCAAAACUAGCGUCACUGCGCAAGCUCAGGCCACGUAACGUAACAUAAGAUGAUAUGCUCAUUCAUAAGAUUACGAUAGGAGAUUAACGUGACAAAAAUACGAAGGAAUUUGAUUAUGGGGAAAAUAAAUGAUAAAAAGAAAAUGGCGAUAUGAAGGAUCAUGUACGGCCGCGAUAAAGAAAUCUUCGGCUAGCCAGGAAUGGAAAUAGAAAGCACGCGGACAAUGACAGCAGGCUUGUCCAUGGUUAAUAAAUGUGAGCUCGCUAAUUGAUUCUAAGUAACCAAUAAAUUGCGCUGGCCGCAUUGUAAAAGUGGUUAUGGUGAACGUAUGCGUGUGGCCGAGCGUUGUUAUCUUUCCGCUGGUGGUUUGUUCGUUUUUCCCUCCCGAGAUCGCCUGCGCCUGUCGGCCGGCGCGUUAUCAUAAAAGCCCGCGCUUUUCCUCGCUCGUUUAAAAAUGGCGGUUUCAAUCGACGCUUCUCGCCAAUGGUAAUAUGGUCAUCGUAUCGAGUAGAAUACCGCGAGGAUAUCGUGAAACAUCGUGCCAGUUAUCAAGACAAUAAAUUGCGAUUCUUCAAAAAGAUAUUUUAUUGCGAAAAGGUUAUCACGUGGUAUUAUGUUUUGCAGAAUUUUUUAGGUUAUGGACUAUGAAGGUUCACUACACAAGGUCUUUUUUAUUCUGCAAUAGCGCGUAAAUAUAAAAAUUAUACUUCCAGCUUCGUCGCCGUAGGUAAAAAAGGAUUUACAACACGUAGCACUAAUACAUUUUCAUCUGUAGAUAAAACACGGGAUUCUUGGUAUUUAUGGACUACGAACUACUUCUUUUUAUGAAAGUCUCAAAGUUACUUUACAUGCAACAACGACUUCAGCUCACAUAGAUUAUCUCAGAUAAGUAACAGAUAAGUAAAUAUUAAUAAUUAAUCAGUAUAAAUAAUCAAAUAAUGCUAUUGUUUUUUGCAAAUCUGCGUGCGUUAUUUAAAGAUCAUUUUAUUGUUUACGAAACGACUCGGAAUUUUAUAAAACUAAAAAUUCAUUUAAAUCUCACUUAACUCGUUUCAUCUUCUUCUGUCUUUUUAUUAUCAUUCUCGUUUCAAACGUUUUGUAUAUGUAGAUCUCUAUUAUAUCUUUAGUUCAUAGAAAACAACAUAUAGACUUAAUAUCAAAGUUCUCAUAUAUUGGGUUGGCAACUAAGUGACUGCGGAUUUGUCAAUACCACUUAAUGACAAAAUCCGCAAUCACUUAGUUGCCAACCCAAUAUCUUCGAUUUACCAAUAAUUUGAUUUAUCAUCGAGCCAAUGUGUUAAUAGAGCCGCUAUAUUUGCAAAAAGCUCGCUAUUUGGUCAGAAUUCCGUUUACAAGAAAGUUAAAUCCUUAACCUUUAUUUCCAGCUAGCCAAUGUAUUUCCACCUAAAAGCAAGAGGAAUGGGCACAGGUAUUUCAAUCGGUUCAUUUAUUCCACCGGCAUUUUAUGGUAAUUAACGGUGAUAUAGGAAUCCAUUGAAGAAAGAAAGGAGCCAAGUAACCGUACAAAGAAUUUGGCCCAUGCUAUUCAAGUGAAAGUUGCACAUUUUAGAAAUACUUUAUACCGUAACGUUUAUUGAACGAGAAACAAAAUAUAAAACUCUUGAAUUGUGUCCUAUAGAUUAGCUAUAUUCUAAUCAUGUAAUUUGUGUUUUUUAUCAAAUAGUAAUUUCCCGUCCUGAUCUCCAUAUCUGCGAGUCGGUCACCUAUGAUGCAAGAAGAGCAUUACCAAGGGACAAUGAGGGUGACAUGCAUUUAUGUCAUCUGUGCAUGACUCAUAGAACUUAUAGUAUAACCAGACAAACAAUUCCUUGAUAAGUAUUAGUCUAAAUUGUUCCUUUGUUACCUUCGUUAUCCUUUAAAAUAGGCUUAUAGAUCAGAAUUAAGAAUAGAAUGGGACAAAGGAUAUUAUGAAUUAAGAAUAAAAUUAGAUAAAAGAGAUAAGCAUGUAAAUCAUUUGUAACACUUUAUAUCGUUGCAUGUAAGAAAUCGUAUACGUUGAAUUAUACUCGAGAAUGAAACUAGUAAAAACAAAGUUAAUAUUGUGGUUACAAUUAUAACAUUUAUGAAAGAAAAAAAGGCAAGGCAAAGCUAGGGCAUCUUUCUUGGCAAAGAAAAGUAGCAAGUUGAAGUCUCUUAUUUUGCAGUACUCGAAAAAAAGCUGCAUAUGCGCGUUAAUCUGCUAAUCCCUAAUAAGAGCACUCGAACAUUGAGGCGAUAAUAAAACUGAAGCCACCAGGCGAUAACGGUCAAUCAUGAUUACAUGGCAUUGCAAAUACGAUUAUCGGAUCGAUCGGACCGAUAGAGAGACGUUCGAAGAAGCGACCGAGGAAGUGUUAAGAAGAAAAAGAGAAUCCUCUAGAAGGCGAGAAAGACAACGACACAGACAAAAGAGGCAGUGAUCAUUGAUAAAUGAUUUAUGCAAGCCACUUGACUCUCAUUAAUAUCUCCCGUCACUCGAUAUAUUGGAUCUAUAUCUUCUGUAAGCGCUAAUCGUUACAAGUUUGCUGAUAGUUAUUGAGCAUCUUUCAUUUUUAACCUUUUUUGAUCCUCGGUACAAUUAUGGUAACUGGCAAAUCGCAGAAGUUUCAGCAGCCUAUACAUUUCAGAUUAUUUCUCACAGAGAUCAGUAUUCUGAUCAAUGAUAUUGCGAUAAUAGCGCCUCUGUUGGCAGAUUCUUUUGUUUCAAACAUAACCUAGAAUUAAGAACAUUAACAUACGAAUGUCGAGCAAAAGACGCACGUGUUUCUUUAAAAUAAUAAUGCGAUAAAACAAAGUCUUCGGAUCAUAUAAUGGCAAUAUUCUUAUCUUGGAGAUACCGUUGUGUUAAAUAAAGAUACUACUAUAUGUGUCACAAGUGCAAGGAGUAUUCAAUAACACGUCUACAUGGAGGUCAUCACAAGUGCCUACAUCUGCCGCUUUUUCUUAAAUCCAAUGGAUCCAAUAUCAAGCGUAUGCAAAGAAAAAUAUGCUGUUACUUACUAAAGUCUCCCGGACAAGAUUUGCAACACCUGCCAGGAAGGAGAACUGGCUCUUUGCACGUAAGUUCUGGGCAUUCGUUCUUGAUGUUACGGCAGUGAACCCGCGCUACGAUUCGCCGUUUCUUCUGCACCUGAAACCAGAACAUUAUUAUGUAUUUUCACACAUUACAACGUUUAAAAUAUUACCACGCUGUAACAGAUGGUUUUCAGUUGAACAAUAGGAAAAAGUUUGAACGAUGUCCGUUACGAAACAGAAAUCGAGUUUCUCCAUCAGCCUGUUCAUACUACUGGACACGUUCGCGGUGACGUUUGAAAGUGUGAUUGUAAUGUUUUCGAACCUGUAAACGUGCUUACAUGUUUAUUACUCCUUUACGCAUCGCUGACGACGACAGUUGCAACGUUUACAUGCACGGCGUGCAUAAAUCUAUCGUCAAGUAAUUGAUGUCUUACUCGAGCUCGACCGUGUUGUUCUUUACGAUGCAUUCAUAGCUCGAUGGUACAUACACGAUUCGAUUCAUGAACAACGCACAUUCGUCUAGAAGAAACAUUCCUUACUUGUGCAUUUUUGUACAGGAAUAUAUAUAAUAUAUUUCUGUAUAUGUAUAACAGUAUCCAUCGAAAUUUCAUGAUGAUAACGAAGGAACACGAUCGUAAUUAUAAUUUGUGAUCAAAUAUCAUAAAAGGUUAUGUGAGAUUUCAAUACAUAGGCGUAGACAGAGACAAAACUAAAUGAUCAGAUAGCGGAUCUAGGUAUCGAUGACGUUUAAUCAAACUGGAACUAGUAUUAUCUACUUAAGUUCUAUUUGUUAUAUAUCCUUGUAGUACACGUGUAGAUUACUUAAUAAGUAAUCGAAAUUAGUAUCCACGUUGUUGUAUGAGUCAGCUGUGUUUAACGGAACUUUAUUGAUAUUUGUUUCCACUACCUGCUCAAUUAUUUCUCUACCAGACUGUUACUUGUUUGUUUAAGUUGCAUAUAAUGUAACCAGAUAAUAAAAUAAUGAUAUAAAUAAUAAUAUAUUAUAAUAUGAAUUAUAAAUUAACGAUAUAAAAACUAUGAUAAUAAAGAAAAAAAAAAAAUAAAAACAGGUAAAACUAGAACCAUCGGAUACAAAAAUCGUAAAGUUCGAACGAGUUUCCAGCGAUCCAGCAGACACGCGUUGACUGGUCGAUAAAUAUCCGACUUUAGAGCAAAUUUGCGGCAUCUAGUUAUCUCUGGGUGUGAAAAACUAAUCUCGAAAGAUUCUUCUUCAACGGGACGCCAACCAAAGGAAUGGAUAAGAGAUCGUGCAUCCGGCGAGGGUUCCGGUUACACUGGUGCCGAGAGCAGAAAUUAAGUUUGGGGUUUUAUAGAGCUGCAUGGCAUUCCUGAAACGCGAAACGAUACGUUCGAUGUUGAUUCGAGUGACAAAAUGAAAAAAAGUCAAGGGAGCAGAACGGCGCCGACCGGCGAUCAGACAACGCAGACGUUGAACUUCGCAUUACGGGAGUAUCGGGGCGCCAGGAGUAAAUUCCGAGAUUCAGUGGCCCUCGUGAGAUCGCGUGACAGUUAUUUAACUGGGACCCGCUAAGCGAGUAUGUCGCUGUAUUUUUUAUCGUCCAGAGAUACAUUUAGGUGCCUGCCGACGCAUACCUCUAGUACUUCUGAUAAGUUUCUACGACAUUGCGAGAUACAAUGUAACAAAAAGUUUUUCAGCGAUCUGGAAACACGAAGAACGAUAAUGAUAAGGCCGAUAGUAAAAAACGAAGCAACCAUUUUUCUAUCGGCAACUUCUCGACGUAUUCAAUUAUGUUAUAGAUAACGCGACGUAAAUCAAUAUAGCUUUCAUAGAAACUAAAUAUAAAUCUUCGCGAUUUCUACGCACUCUGUAUCUUGUUCUUUUUACUUUUACUUACACGAAU